AACGUAGGACGCGAGCGUUUAUCCGGAGUUACUGGGCGUAAAGGGCUCGUAGGCGGUCUGUUGCGUCAGGAGUGAAAACUCGGAGCUCAACUCCGAGCCUGCGUUCGAUACUGGACGGCUAGAGUCUGGUAGGGGGAUCGUGGAAUUCCUGGUGUAGCGGUGGAAUGCGGCAGAUAUCAGGAGGAACACCGGUGGCGAAGGCGGCACUCUGGGCCGGUACUGACGCUGAGGAGCGAAAGCGUGGGGAGCAACAGG
rnacentral:rRNA from 1 species